rnacentral:miRNA from 1 species
UGACAGAAGAGAAUGAGCAC